rnacentral:rRNA from 1 species
GACGAACGCUGGCGGCGUGCUUAACACAUGCAAGUCGAACGGAAAGGCCCUGCUUUUGUGGGGUGCUCGAGUGGCGAACGGGUGAGUAACACGUGAGUAACCUGCCCUUGACUUUGGGAUAACUUCAGGAAACUGGGGCUAAUACCGGAUAGGAGCUCCUGCUGCAUGGUGGGGGUUGGAAAGUUUCGGCGGUUGGGGAUGGACUCGCGGCUUAUCAGCUUAUUGGUGGGGUAGUGGCUUACCAAGGCUUUGACGGGUAGCCGGCCUGAGAGGGUGACCGGCCACAUUGGGACUGAGAUACGGCCCAGACUCAUACGGGAGGCAGCAGUGGGGAACAGUGCACAAUGGGCGGAAGCAUGAUGGAGCAACGCCGCGUGCGGGAUGACGGCCUGCGGGUUGUAAACCGCUUUCGACUGUGACGAAGCGUGAGUGACGGUAACGGGUAAAGAAGCACCGGCUAACUACGUG